UACAGAGGUCUCAAGCGUUGUUCGGAUUCAUUGGGCGUAAAGGGUGCGUAGGUGGUGGGGUAAGUUUGAUGUGAAAUCUCCGAGCUUAACUCGGAAAUGGCAUUGAAUACUACUCUGCUAGAGGGUCGGAGGGGAGACUGGAAUUUUCGGUGUAGCAGUGAAAUGCGUGGAUAUCGAAAGGAACACCAGUGGCGAAAGCGAGUCUCUGGACGACUCCUGACACUGAGGCACGAAAGCUAGGGGAGCAAACAGG
rnacentral:rRNA from 1 species